GCUCCUCUACAAAAACUCGGUUGUCUCGCAUAGAAGAGUACGUCAAGGGAGGCAGAAACCUUGGGAGCUGGACUGUGUGGGUGGCCUUGGAAACAUACCUACAGCUCCAGGAGGCGUUCGGCUGGGCAGCCUUUAA